GUCUCUACAAAAAAAAAGAAGUUUUAAUUUUUGGUCCUUCCUUCUCUGUUUCCUCAGACUCAUCUUCCCAAUGGCUGAAGGCUCCCUGUUGCCCCUGGUGUAGUGAAUUCUAGUGGUCAUAACACAUUUAUGUUCACAGCACAUAUGUUUCAGAACCUUGGACAGACACCUUUUGUGAAUCUCCCCAGCUCAUACCCACUUCUCUGAGAUCUGUUCCUAUCUUUGGGACUGGUGCUUCUGACCCUGUCUCUCUGGCUAUCAGCGAUUAGACCUUGGAUCAACACCUGACCAAGUUAGCACCUUCAGACUUCUCUGGAGAAAAUGACGCUUAAUUGGUGGUAAUUUAGCUGCAUGGGCCACUUCCAUCACAUGGAGAAAAAUGAAGCAAACUCAGAGUGAGGCAAGUGAGAGACCAUGGGGCCUCAGGAGAACUAUCUUAUCCCUGCAGUCUCCCUUGUAAUUCAGCUAUACCUCUUGUCCUUGUCCUGAGUUAUUUGAGAUGUUCUUAAUAAAUCCCCCCUUUAGCCUGAA
rnacentral:antisense_RNA from 1 species